AUAAUGUUAUCCCAGUUCCACACAAAAGUUUCUCAUUCAUGUGACUUACAGGGGCUGAUCAGUGGCUUUUUGUUUUCUUUUUGCAUGUAUUUAUGUCCCUCAUCUGCUUCCUUCUCGCAUCUCAAGUUCCAACUCUCUCAGCUCCUCUCUCUCUCUCUCUCUCUCUCUCUCUCUCUCUCUCUCUCUCUCUCUCUCUCUCUCAUUUUGAAGCUGAAACCAUGAAGCAAAGCUUUACCUCAGGAGCUAUUGUCCUAUGCAUUUUCUUCAUCAUUUCUUCGUCAACAAUGAUAUCAGCUCGUCUACUAGGCAACAAAGAAGGACAAGAGGAUCAGGUAGAGCUCAAUGCAAUCACUGAUGGGGGUUCACUUGUAGAGUUGGAAGGCAGUGAACUAAUGAAUCAGUUAAUUGGGGUGGAAGAUUGCACUGAUGGAGAUGAGGACUGUUUAAACAGAAGGAUAAUGGCUGAAGCUCACUUGGACUACAUCUACACCCAGCACCAGAAGCC